ensembl:lncRNA
CUAUCUGCUGCGCUCCCGGUGCUGCCCGAUGUGACACCAUAACCAGCAGAAUUCCAGAGGGUUGCAUGCAGCCGUUGCACUGAGAGCUCGCUGUGCACAGCCCUUCACUUCUAGCCCAGGGCCAAACCUCUCUGCUUACUGCAGCAUCACCCCUACGCCUACCCCAGGGCUGUGCGGGAUCAGAGUCUGUGUGAGGAGCAGCGCCCACUGCUCGGAAGAAGAAGAAUGGGGAAGAUGUCAGUUGAACAAAGCACUGAAAACAGGCAAUGAAAGCAACGCAUACACGAUGUGCUCGUACAGCUGCUACAAGGCAGCACGUGCUUUUAUUGCCGGCCGCCUUAUCUGCAGCAUUAGCAGUCAGGGCAGAUGGAUGCCUGCUGCUAAUGGGCUCUAACACUCCAUCCCUUCAAGACUAAUGGACAGCUUUCAGAAAGCACUUCGCUGCCACCUCCCCUGGCACAGAAUGGGACUGUGGGGUUACAUCCAAGGUGCAGCCCAUCACCUCUGCACAGCAGAGAAGCACUGGGCUCUCCCUGGAGUUGCAGUGUGUAACUCUCACCCCUCCUGCAGUUGCCAUUGCCUUCACCUGCCUGGAAGCUUCAGAAGAACCUCCUUUUUGUUUGUGGGACUCAACCAGCUCUGCAGCUGGAUUCAUUUGCAAGCAGCACUUUAGGAGAUGCAGUCAGCAAUGAGUACAAAAAUAGCACUUAUUUACUCCGUGUGCUUUGCUGACAAACAACUUCUGAAGUCCCCUGGAGAAGAUUCAGCCACAGAACAAUUCCAACACGGAUAAAUCGUCAGCUGAACUCCAACUGCAGCUGAUAGAAUAAAAAAAAAAACCCCAGCAGGAUUCCUCCAUUCCAGAUGGCACCUUGAUGUGCUGCCAGAUACGGAGGAGCUCCCAUUUAGCAACACUAACCGUAUUUCUUUAAGCUGAAUAAAAAGAAAUUACAACUCUCAUUCUUAAGGCAGAUUUUGGAGCCAGCAGAACAGGUGAGCACGGCUUCAAAAAGCUGCUGCAGCUCACAGUAAUUGCGGAGGUUUGUUCUCUGCUUUCAAGUACUCAGAGUGGGAUGGCACUCCAGGCAGUUCCAAAUGCUCCUCCUGGUCCAGCUCAGUGCUGUUACAGAAACAAAUGCAGCAUUAGAUGGUUCCAGAGGGGCCCAGAAGGGCUGUGAGCAUAGGGUGAAACUUGCUUGUGCUGUAUGGGGACAGACACUGCACUCUCCUGUCCGUACAUCAUUACAGCAUAAAUGAGAAGAAGUAAUUUGCUGAAUUAAAGGCCAACUCUACAGGGCAAAACAUAGGGGUGAUCUGGUUCUAAUUAAAGAGUUCAGCUGUCUGGCACUCCCACUGACAGAAUGACACCUCACAUCUAUCCCAGCAUCGAAAGGAGAAGAAAGACAACACAUACAUGG